GGUGUGUUAGUUAAUCGAUAACAUUAAAAUGCAAUUUUAGAAUUGUCCCACGGACACACACUU
rnacentral:tRNA from 1 species